CAACCCACCAGAGCAAAGGCGACAUCAUGGGUGUAUCAAGUAUGUACAAGAACUAAGUAAAUGAUAAUAAGUGAAGAAAAAUGGAAUCCGUUAAGUAAAUGUAAAUGUUUUAAUAUAAUAUACAUGUUGCGAAUUCUUUAUGGUUUAUCUAUUAUUGUACGUAACUUAUCUUGUUAAUGUGUUGGGUUACGUGAAAUGCGCAGUGCAUAGUUUAAAGCAUAUACGUUUCUAGCGUAAGUGUGGUAUUCUCUGUUACGAAAGUAUACUAGCUGGAGUUUUCGUAGAGUUCGCAAGCUUUUCACUCGUGUGCAGCAUCCUUCAGUGCAAGUUAAAGUUUAUGACACAACAAUUCCACGUCAACUCGAACACGCAAAACCCCGGUAUGAAGCAUUGUCAUGAGCAUGCCAAACCAACAGAUGGCGAUAUAUUCCUUAACCCAGAGAAGCCACUCCAGUCUCGUCUUGCCAUGAACAAGGAAAAAAUGCGGGAGCUGACUUCGCAGACGUACGUGGUUCAGGCAGAUGGCCAUUGCUUUUCUGAACAGCAGUUGGAAGUAUUCUGAGGUAAUUUAAAAUUUAGGAAAAAUAUGAGGAUGAUUAUCGAUGAUUAUAUAAUUGAGUUCAAUAACAUAGUAAUUUUGGUUGUUUCAUUUCAUUGUGAGUGUUUGUUUGAUGUUUAAAUGAUCAACAUAAUAUGGUUAAUUGUUCUGUCCCGUUUGUUAGAAAAGCUUUUGCAAAUAUCUUGUCUGAGGUAAAUUGUCAUUUUAAACACAUUUAGUGAGUGUGAAUAAUAUGAUUUUUGUCUCUAUAUAUAUUUAUGAUGCUCUGGCAGUUUU